UACGAAGGGGGCUAGCGUUGCUCGGAAUCACUGGGCGUAAAGCGCACGUAGGCGGCUCGUUAAGUCGGGGGUGAAAUCCUGGAGCUCAACUCCAGAACUGCCUUCGAUACUGGCGAUCUUGGAGUCCGGGAGAGGUGAGUGGAACUGCGAGUGUAGAGGUGAAAUUCGUAGAUAUUCGCAAGAACACCAGUGGCGAAGGCGGCUCACUGGCCCGGUACUGACGCUGAGGUGCGAAAGCGUGGGGAGCAAACAGG
rnacentral:rRNA from 1 species